CAAUAGCGUAUAUUAAAGUUGUUGCAGUUAAAAAGCUCGUAGUUGGAUUUCUGUGAGAGUGCCGGUGUCGGCAGCUGCUUGUACGCAGGCGCUCUUGCAUCCUUCUGUUAACUGUUCUCGGCAUUCUAUUGCUGGUACAGGGCUCAGAUAUUUUACCUUGAGAAAAUUAGAGUGUUUCAGGCAGGCUUAUGCCGGAAUACAUUAGCAUGGAAUAACGAAUGUACUUACAAUAUGGUUAAUUGUAGGUUUCGAUUAAUAGGGACAGUUGGGGGCAUUAGUAUUUAAUUGUCAGAGGUGAAAUUCUUGGAUUUGUUAAAGACUAACGUAUGCGAAAGCAUUUGCCAAGGAUGUUUUCAUUAA
rnacentral:rRNA from 1 species